GCCCGGCAGAUUGUUCCAAAAGUCGGGAAAAAAACAUAGAAUUAUAAAUAUACUACCGACUUUUUUUUUAAUUUACAGUCAGUCCAAAUGUUCAGGCCAUACAUUUUUGGCGACACUAACUUGUUUAUUUUUUCACGAAAGUAAGAUUUUUGUGUAUACAUGACAUUCAAACCAGAAAUUUCGUACAGCAUAUCUCAAUGGACACAAAACGUUG
rnacentral:lncRNA from 1 species